rfam:Triticum aestivum genome assembly, contig: Triticum_aestivum_CS42_TGACv1_scaffold_642757_T_3DS-0.072030_1BL-0.062260
UUACUACUCCUUCCGUUCAGAAUUAUUUGUCUCGAAAAUGAAUGUAUCUAAAACUAAAAUACGUCUAGAUACAUCCAUUUCUGCGACAAGUAAUUUCGAACGGAGAGAGUAGCAG